rnacentral:rRNA from 1 species
AAUCAUUUGCCCUAUAAUUGAGGGCUAGUAUGAAUGGUUUGACAUGAGCAUAGCUGUCUCCUUAAAAUUUUAUAAAAUUUGGUUUUUAGGUGAAGAAACCUAAAUUAAAUUGAAAGACAAGAAGACCCUAUCGAGCUUUAGAAUAAUUAAUUAAAAAAUAUAAAUAAAACAAUUAAUUUUAAUUAAAAACUUUGGUUGGGGCGACUGAGGAACAUAUAAAGCUUCCUUAAUUAGACAAUGCUGAUAAGCAAUGAUCCAGGAAAUCUGAUUAAAAAAAUUAGUUACCGUAGGGAUAACAGCAUAAUCUUUUUUGAGAGCUCUUAUCGAAAAAAAGGUUUGU